CAGGCCUAACACAUGCAAGUCGAACGGUAACAGGAAGCAGCUUGCUGCUUCGCUGACGAGUGGCGGACGGGUGAGUAAUGUCUGGGAAACUGCCUGAUGGAGGGGGAUAACUACUGGAAACGGUAGCUAAUACCGCAUAACGUCGCAAGACCAAAGAGGGGGACCUUCGGGCCUCUUGCCAUCGGAUGUGCCCAGAUGGGAUUAGCUAGUAGGUGGGGUAACGGCUCACCUAGGCGACGAUCCCUAGCUGGUCUGAGAGGAUGACCAGCCACACUGGAACUGAGACACGGUCCAUACUCCUACGGGAGGCAGCAGUGGGGAAUAUUGCACAAUGGGCGCAAGCCUGAUGCAGCCAUGCCGCGUGUAUGAAGAAGGCCUUCGGGUUGUAAAGUACUUUCAGCGGGGAGGAAGGCGAUAAGGUUAAUAACCUUGUCGAUUGACGUUACCCGCAGAAGAAGCACCGGCUAACUCCGUGCCAGCAGCCGCGGUAAU
rnacentral:rRNA from 1 species